UGGGGAAUAUUGCACAAUGGGCGCAAGCCUGAUGCAGCCAUGCCGCGUGUAUGAAGAAGGCCUUCGGGUUGUAAAGCACUUUCAGCGGGGAGGAAGGCGAUAAGGUUAAUAACCUCAUCGAUUGACGCUACCCGCAGAAGAAGCACCGGCUAACUCCGUGCCAGCCGCCGCGGUAAUACGGAGGGUGCAAGCGUUAAUCGGAAUUACUGGGCGUAAAGCGCACGCAGGCGGUCUGUCAAGUCGGAUGUGAAAUCCCCGGGCUCAACCUGGGAACUGCAUUCGAAACUGGUAGGCUAGAGUGUUGUAGAGGUGGGUAGAAUUCCAGGUGUAGCGGUGAAAUGCGUAGAGAUCUGGAGGAAUACCGGUGGCGAAGGCGGCCCCCUGGACAAAGACUGACGCUGAGGUGCGAAAGCGUGGGGAGCAAACAGG
rnacentral:rRNA from 1 species